GAUGAACGCUGGCGGCGUGCCUAAUACAUGCAAGUCGAGCGAACAGAUGAGGAGCUUGCUCCUCUGACGUUAUCGGCGGACGGGUGAUUAACACGUGGUUAACCUACCUAUAAGACUGGGAUAACUUCGGGAAACCGGAGCUAAUACCGGAUAAUAUAUUGAACCUGGUGGUUCAAUAGUGAAAGUCGGUUUUGCUUUCACUUAUAGAUUGAUCCGCGCUGCAUUAGCUAGUUGGUAAGGUAACUGCUUACCAAGGCAACGAUGCGAAGCCGACCUGAGAGGGUGGUCGGCCACACUGGAUCUGAGAAAGGGCCCAGACUCCGACGGGAGGACGCAGUAGAGAAUCUUCCGCGAUGGGCGAAAGCCUGAUGGAGCAACGCCGCGUGAGUGAUGAAGGUCUUAGGAUCGUAAAACUCUGUUAUUAGGGAAGAACAAAUGUGUAAGUAACUAUGCACGUCUUGACGGUACCUAAUCAGAAAGCCACGGCUAACUACGUG
rnacentral:rRNA from 1 species